rnacentral:ncRNA from 1 species
CUCUAAUUCAUAUUCCAGAUUAUAUAUUUUAAGGAAUAUAUACAGUGAAGAAUUAGAAUUAAAGAGAUUUAUUCCUUCCAUAUAUGGUAAAAAAGAAUCAGUAAAACAGGUAUUAGUAUAAAUA